rnacentral:rRNA from 14 species
GAAGAAAUGGCUUUAAUUACCCCGUCGUAACACGGACCAAGGAGUCUAACAUAUGUGCAAGUACGUCAGUGGCAAACUGAUAUGCGUAAUGAAAGUAACAGUGGUAGGAAGCUUCGGCUGCACUAUCCGCCGGCCAACAUCCUUCGGGAGAAAGGUCUGAGUGUGAGCAUACAUGUUGGGACCCGAAAGAUGGUGAACUAUGCCUGAGU